AGUGUAUGAGGAUCCACUAAUAGAUCCUGACCUCACCCUGUUUGUGGACGGCUCAAGGUAUGCUGAUGAAGGAAAAUAUCACACAGGAUAUGCCGUCACCACAACAGAUGAAAUUAUCAAGUCAUCAUCUCUACCAUCAACAAUGUCUGCGCAGGAAGCUGAAUUACAAGCCCUAACUUUAGCAUGCAAGAUAUCUGAAGGAAAGCGCGCCAAUAUCUACACAGAUUCAAGAUACGCACUGGGCGUGGCUCAUGACUUCGUAUUAAUUUGGAAAACAAGAGGAUUUCUUACCACUGCCGGUACACCAGUCAAGCACAGUUCUGCAGUCAAGGAGCUGAUGGAUGCCCUCCUACUCCCAGAAGAAGUGGCUAUUCUGAAGGUAAAGGCACAUGGAAAGUUGGAUUCGGAUGAAGCAAGGAGCAAGCUGCAAGAGAACUACAGGAAGUGGACAGAAGUGUGUCCGGAAACGAAGAAACUCCCACAUUUACCUUGCAGACACUUCCAACUGAUCUAAAAAUCCUAUGAGAACAGGCUGCAGUUGCUCCUGAAGAAAUAAAAAGAUGGAAACAAAGGG